GUAUUUUUAAGAUUUAUAUUCGAAAUUUUGAUGAUUUUAGCUACAUUAUUCACCGCAGGUCUACGUCGUCGUAUAGACCCUAAUAUAACGGCUACAUUAGGUAUUUUUAAGACGGAUUUUAUUUUUGAAAAUUGCCCAAAUCGGCCGGCCGAACUUACUGCUUUUUUACUUGUUAGUAAUAUUUUCGGAUACCUAAAAUUGGUUUAAUCUCUCUCUUUCUCUCUCUCUCUCUGAAAACGGCGUAUUUAAUAUUGUUAGUAAGGUCGGUCAUAUUUUACUCUUGUUCGUAGCAACAAUCAUAAAUUUCCCAUCUGUAUUCAUUAAUCGUUUUACUAAUUAAUAGUAGAAUUAAAUAAGCGAGACCAUUUGUGUUUAUCUUAAGUAAAAUAAAGCCCACGAUAUUAAUUAAAUAGCAUUUGUGCCAAUAUUUGUUAAAGGUACUGCAAAAUAUCUAUAAGUAGCCGCAAUUUUCAAUAAAGUGAGAUAUAUUGAUAUUUUUUAAGUCCAGUCAUGAAAUUUUUCAUUGCAUGUUUGAUUGGUGUAAUAACUCUGUUGGCAUUUGGCCAAGCAAAGAGUACAACUUUGAUAGCCGAGAAAGCUCAAGAUGACAAUCAUGGUGUACAGGAAGAUCAAAAUGGUGGUGAUGUGAUUCCUCCGCUCGUACAUGUCCUAUUUGAUUUUGGAUCUAACAAUUUUUUUGGACGCCCCACUACUCCUACAACAACUACUGCACGGUACUAGUUUUGAAAUGAAAAUAAAACUUAAUAAAAUAACCAUAAAAGUUUAAAAGCAAAAGUGAAUAUUGAAAAAUAUAAAAUUUAUAUUGGUUUAAAUGUCUUAAUAAAAACAUUAAUUGAAAUAAAAAGAACAGUUA